ACGGUCCAAGGGUCGGGCUCUCCUGCUGGGUUCCCAGCAUGCACUAUCGUGCAGGGCGAACCAGCGAUCAUCACGUGUCCCGGUGGACCCCCAUCGCACAAUAACGUUUUUCUUUUUCUAAUUUAUUGAAAAUAUUUUUUUCUCUUUGCCUUAUCGGCUUAUCCUCGCGCACUACUGCUGCUGCCACUCCCUGUUCCACAGCCAGUGAUUCCACUGCGAGAGGGGAUUCUCAUGAGGUGAAAUCCGCCGUCUGGGUCGUGGCCGGCAGCAAGACAAGAGUAGCGCCGCCCGUCUCUGACGUGCUUCGUCAACUGGAGCCGUCGCGGCUACCGCCACCUGUCUCCGGCGCGCUUCGCCGCCCGGAGCGGUGGGGUUGAAAGGCGGUAAGACGGGAGUCGUCGCCGCUGGCUAGCGCCGCUCACCUCGGUCACGCCGCGCUGCCUGGGGCCGUGGUCUUGGCUGGGGACAAGAUGGGAUCCGUCGCGGCUAUGUCUGCUCACCUCAGGCGCGCCGCGCCGCGCUCGGCCGUGUCCUUGGCCGGCGGCAAAACAGGAGCCGUCGCGGCUAGUGCUGCCUGCCUCCGGCGUGCUCAAGGCCCGGCCAAGGUUCUGGCCGACCCGCUCCCUUGGAGAUGGUGCCAUGGUGAAACUGCUGCGCUGUCAGCGGUGGCCGAGAUGUCGCGCAGUCGCACUAGAAGAUGCGAGCUCGAUACUCAACAGGCAAAGUGUCAAGAUUUGCCCUCUGAUGCAUAGUGUGUGCAGCAACGUAGGAGUGAUCAUCCUUCACAGAAUUAUAAUGCAAUUCCGAAGGAUUAAUUUGCAUGUAUUUGAAGAAAAGAAACGGGGCUAUUGAAGAUGAAGCACAGGGAGUUAUUUCCGAAGGAUUAAUUUGCAUGCCAUAGAUUGAACUUAUUUUUUGGUUGUUUGCUUGUUUUAAUCUUAUCAUCUUCGUAUGAUAAAAGAGUGUUCAUAAUCUGUAGGUUCCAUGCACAGCAAUGUACCUAUGGACGAUGAAGUGCCAGCAACUUCCAUGCUGAAGAACACAGUAGAUGCUGAUCCACGGAGAAGGCAAAUUUUCUCUAUCAAUCCUGAUCUAGUCUCAUGUGAUCCAGCGGCAAUGGAGUAGAUCGAUGUAAGCCGCAGAUGUAUGCGACGAAGAGAUUUUGGCGGCAAUCUGUUGUUACCCGGGAGAAAAAAAAAUGUCCUUUUGCUGAUUUUCUGGAACAUAACUGCAAUUACGGAGAUACGCUGUGUUGUUUGAGGGAUGGAGGUCCACCGGGACACGUGGUGAUCGCUGGUUCGCCCUACACGAUAGUGCGUGCUGGGAACCCAGCAGGAGAGCCGUACACCGAUCCAGGGGGCUGUCGACCGCGACGGCUGCUCGUAGUGUCUUGAUCCAAGCUGUUAUGGCUGAGCGGAGAACGGUUCGCCUGGAUUGGGACCGACGGGUCGGGACCCCCGGUUGCUACGGCGAAGGCGUAUGUUUUUCUUCCCUGGCAUGCAUCUUUGUCCUGUGUUUAUGGCUUUGCGUCGAUGGCCGUUUGUGCAGCAACCAAAAUGUCAUAGUAUAUAUAUAUAUAUAUAUUUUAGGAGAGUGGUUGCAAACUGUCU